UAUUCGUGUUUUCUUUUCUUUUCUUUUCUUUUCUUUCUUUUUACUUC
rnacentral:ribozyme from 1 species